rnacentral:rRNA from 1 species
UGGGGAAUAUUGGACAAUGGGCGAAAGCCUGAUCCAGCCAUGCCGCGUGUGUGAAGAAGGUCUUCGGAUUGUAAAGCACUUUAAGUUGGGAGGAAGGGUUGUAGAUUAAUACUCUGCAAUUUUGACGUUACCGACAGAAUAAGCACCGGCUAACUCUGUGCCAGCAGCCGCGGUAAUACAGAGGGUGCAAGCGUUAAUCGGAAUUACUGGGCGUAAAGCGCGCGUAGGUGGUUUGUUAAGUUGGAUGUGAAAUCCCCGGGCUCAACCUGGGAACUGCAUUCAAAACUGACUGACUAGGGUAUGGUAGAGGGUGGUGGAAUUUCCUGUGUAGCGGUGAAAUGCGUAGAUAUAGGAAGGAACACCAGUGGCGAAGGCGACCACCUGGACUAAUACUGACACUGAAGUGCGAAAGCGUGGGGAGCAAACAGG